rnacentral:rRNA from 1 species
GAUCAUGGCUCAGGAUGAACGCUGGCGGCGUGCUUAAUACAUGCAAGCCGAACGAAGAUAUUCGCCGAAGUUUACUUCAUUGAGAUAUCUUAGUGGCGGACGGGUGAGUAACGCGUGGGUAACCUGCCUUACACAGGGGGAUAACAGUUAGAAAUGACUGCUAAUACCGCAUAAGCGCACAUUAUCGCAUGAUAGAGUGUGAAAAGAUUUAUCGGUGUAAGAUGGACCCGCGUCUGAUUAGCUAGUUGGUGAGGUAACGGCCCACCAAGGCGACGAUCAGUAGCCGGCCUGAGAGGGUGAACGGCCACAUUGGGACUGAGACACGGCCCAAACUCCUACGGGAGGCAGCAGUAGGGAAUAUUGGACAAUGGGGGAAACCCUGAUCCCAGCGACGCCGCGUGAGUGAAGAAGUAUUUCGGUACGUAAAGCUCUAUCAGCAGGGAAGAAAAUGACGGUACCUGACUAAGAAGCACCGGCUAAAUACGUGCCAGCCGCCGC